GAUGAAGAACGAAGCGAAAUGCGAUACGUAAUGUGAAUUGCAGAAUUCAGUGAAUCAUCGAAUCUUUGAACGCAUAUUGCGCUCUCUGGUAUUCCGGAGAGCAUGCUUGUUUGAGUAUCAGUAAACACCUCAACUUCCAUAUCUUUUUUGAAAUGGGAGUUGGACUUGAGUGAUCCCAACGCUUUUCCUCACCGAAAAGUGGCGGGUUACUUGAAAUGCAGGUGCAGCUGGACUUUUCUCUGAGCUAUAAGCAUAUCUAUUUAGUCUGCCUAAAAAACAGAUUAUUACCUUUGCUGCAGCUAACAUAAAGGAGAUUAGUUCUUGUGCUGACUGAUGCAGGAUUCACAAAGACGGCUUCGGCCGACUUUGUAAACUCGAUCUCAAAUCAACUAAGACUACCCGCUGAACUUAAGCAUUCAAUAAGCGGAGGA
rnacentral:misc_RNA from 1 species